CCUCAUUGUCAAAGCCUGAUAUCAUCAGAAGCCAAGUAGGACAGGGCCUGGUUAGUACUUGGAUGAGAGACCACUGGGAAUAUCCGGUGCCACAGUGGAGC
rnacentral:rRNA from 1 species